UUGAAGAAUGUAGCAUGUAUUUCCUCUUCCCAAGCCUACCUCUUAGUGAGAGAUCAAAUUGAAAAAUCAAAAUCUGAAGUUAUUGAGUAUCAGGCUUCGUAUGAGAAACUUCAGGCUGAGAAGGAUAUUCUUGUCUUAAAGGAAAGGGAACUCAAUGCUAAAAGUGAUGUCAUUGAUUUCCUUCGAAGAUCUGCUGCAAUUGAGAUUCAUUGGCCAGGCUGCUGAGAUACAAAAAUUGCAAACCAUGGUAUAUUGAGAUGAUUUCUUUGGAGCAAUUCUUGACAACAUUUGUAGUUGAGGCCUUUAGAAUGGAAGAAUGUAUUUCACUAAUUUUUGUAUACAUUUCUUGUUUUGUAUUUAGUGAUAAAGGAAUCUGAAUUGGGCAUAAAUUAUGUUGUAAGAUGAUUUCU